GUUAUAAUAGUUUAAAAUAAAACCUUGGUUUUGUAAACCAAAAUUAGAUAUAAAUCUUUAUAACU
rnacentral:tRNA from 1 species